rnacentral:pre_miRNA from 1 species
UAGGUACUUCCUCCGUCCGGAAAUACUUGUCAUCAAAAUGGAUAGAAGGAGAUGUAUCUAGAUGUAUUUUAGUUCUAGAUACAUCCCUUUUUGUCCAUUUUGAUGACAAGUAUUUUCGGACGGAGGGAGUACCAG